rnacentral:rRNA from 1 species
UACGAAGGGGGCUAGCGUUGCUCGGAAUCACUGGGCUUAAAGGGAGCGUAGGCGGGCUAUCAAGUCUGGGGUGAAAUGCCGCGGCUCAACCGUGGAACUGCCUUAGAUACUGACGGCCUCGAGGAAGAUAGGGGCAUGCGGAACUGUGAGUGGAGCGGUGAAAUGCGUUGAUAUUCACAGGAACUCCGGUGGCGAAAGCGGCGUGCUGGAUCUUUUCUGACGCUGAGGCUCGAAAGCUAGGGGAGCAAACGGG